UGGGGAAUUUUGGACAAUGGGCGAAAGCCUGAUCCAGCAAUGCCGCGUGUGUGAAGAAGGCCUUCGGGUUGUAAAGCACUUUUGUCCGGAAAGAAAUCCUUGGCUCUAAUACAGUCGGGGGAUGACGGUACCGGAAGAAUAAGCACCGGCUAACUACGUGCCAGCAGCCGCGGUAAUACGUAGGGUGCAAGCGUUAAUCGGAAUUACUGGGCGUAAAGCGUGCGCAGGCGGUUUGCUAAGACCGAUGUGAAAUCCCCGGGCUCAACCUGGGAACUGCAUUGGUGACUGGCAGGCUAGAGUAUGGCAGAGGGGGGUAGAAUUCCACGUGUAGCAGUGAAAUGCGUAGAGAUGUGGAGGAAUACCGAUGGCGAAGGCAGCCCCCUGGGCCAAAUACUGACGCUCAUGCACGAAAGCGUGGGGAGCAAACAGGAUUAGAUACCCUGGUAGUCCACGCCCUAAACGAUGUCAACUAGUUGUUGGGGAUUCAUUUCCUUAGUAACGUAGCUAACGCGUGAAGUUGACCGCCCGGGGAGUACGGUCGCAAGAUUAAAACUCAAAGGAAUUGACGGGGUC
rnacentral:rRNA from 1 species